UGUUUCAAGAAGAAAGGCAAAUAUGCGCUACAGUAACCAUGGAGAGUGAUUUGCUAGAGACUGUUUAGAAAGCAAACCUGAAAAUACCUUUCUUCAUGGCCAGGCGCAGUGGCUCAUGCCUGUAAUCCCAACAACUUGGGAAGGCCUAGGCAGGUGAAUUACCUGAGGUCAGGAGUUCGAGACCAGUCUGGCUGACAUAGGAAAACUCCGUCUCCACUAAAAAUACAAAAAUUAGUUGGGUGUGGUGGUGGGUGCCUGUACCCCAAAUCUCACCUCCUGGUAUUCCCACUUGUAUGGAAUCCCUUCCUCUUGAGUGGGGGCUGGACCUAGCAACUUGCUUCUAAUGAGUAGAACACAGAAAAAUGAAUGGGAAAUCACUUCUAUGAUUAGAUUAUGAAACACUGCUAGCAGUCUCUUGCACUCUCUGUCUCGUGAGCGUACGUAAAACUGGAGACAUCUGAAUGAGGGUGCUGAGUUGUAUCAAUGUCAGUAUGAGGUUGUGAAAUUAUACUGUGGUUUUUAAGAUGCUAUCAUUGGGGGAAACUAGGAAAAGAGUGUAUAUGAUCUAUGAUCAUUCUGUAUUAUUCCUUCCAACUAAAUGUGAAUCUGUAAUUAUCUCAAUAAACAUUGUAAUUUUUAAGUGAGAUGAGCAUUUUUAUUACUUACUAUUUAUUUAUUCAUUUAUUUAUUUUUCUUGAUUAUAGAGAUGGGGGAAUCUCACUGUGUUUCCCAGGCUGGUCUCAAACUCCUGGGCUCAAGUGAUCUUCCCACCUCAGCCUCCCAAAUCUAGAGAUUCCUCCAGGUGGUCAGUCUAUUCUGCAAGGUCUUUGGAUUCCUCAAAAACCUGCACUGGUUGUCUGGGAGACUCAUCCGUGUUCUCAUGUGGGCUCUGCUGGUGUCUGUAGUGUCUUUCCAUUACAUCUGACCAGAGUGCAAAGAGGUGGAACUGACCUUCGACCUCGGGGGACGGCAGAUCCUGGUGGUUACCAGUGGGUGCAUACCUCCCCUUGACCUGGUUCCAGUGAGCCCUGCCACUGUCUUACUUGGGUUCCUCAGGGCCC
rnacentral:lncRNA from 1 species